UACGUAGGGUGCAAGCGUUGUCCGGAAUUAUUGGGCGUAAAGAGCUCAUAGGCGGCUUGUCGCGUCGGCUGUGAAAACCUGGGGCUCAACCCCGGGCCUGCAGCCGAUACGGGCAAGCUAGAAUUCGGUAGGGGAGACUGGAAUUCCUGGUGUAGCGGUGAAAUGCGCAGAUAUCAGGAGGAACACCGGUGGCGAAGGCGGGUCUCUGGGCAGUAACUGACGCUGAGAAGCGAAAGCGUGGGGAGCGAACAGG
rnacentral:rRNA from 1 species